AGAGUUUGAUCCUGGGUCAGGACGAACGCUGGCGGCGUGCCUAAUACAUGCAAGUCGAACGAGAAACUUCUACCGAGUGCUUGCACUCAACUGAAGUUUCGAGUGGCGGACGGGUGAGUAACACGUGGGUACCUACCCUAGAGCGGGGGAUAACAUUUGGAAACAGAUGCUAAUACCGCAUAACAACCAGAAACGAUUGUUUUUGGUUUGAAAGAUGGUUUCGGCUAUCACUCUAGGAUGGGCCCGCGGCGUAUUAGCCAGUUGGUGAGGUAACGGCUCACCAAAGCAAUGAUACGUAGCCGACCUGAGAGGGUGAUCGGCCACAUUGGGACUGAGACACGGCCCAAACUCCUACGGGAGGCAGCAGUAGGGAAUCUUCCACAAUGGACGAAAGUCUGAUGGAGCAACGCCGCGUGAGUGAAGAAGGGUUUCGGCUCGUAAAACUCUGUUAUCGAAGAAGAACGAGGGUAAGAGUAACUGUUUACCCUGUGACGGUAUUCGAUCAGAAAGCCACGGCUAACUACGUGCCAGCAGCCGCGGUAAUACGUAGGUGGCAAGCGUUGUCCGGAUUUAUUGGGCGUAAAGCGAGCGCAGGCGGUCUUUUAAGUCUGAUGUGAUAAACCUUCGGCUCAACCGAAGAAGUGCAUCGGAAACUGGGAGACUUGAGUGCAGAAGAGGAGAGUGGAACUCCAUGUGUAGCGGUGAAAUGCGUAGAUAUAUGGAAGAACACCAGUGGCGAAGGCGGCUCUCUGGUCUGUAACUGACGCUGAGGCUCGAAAGCGUGGUAGCAAACAGGAUUCAGAUACCCUGUAGUC
rnacentral:rRNA from 1 species